UGAAGUUAAGCAUGCAAGUCUUUCCAGGAUUGGGACCUUAAUAACUAAAUGGUAAAUUACCUAUGUAGCUAAUGUUAGUUUGAAAAAGUAAUGUACCCUAUCAAUGUGCAUACCUCUAACUUUUUUUAAAAUUUGUUUGAAUUGCAGUGAAAAGAUCAGAUGACAACUAUCAAGCUCAGAGAAUAAAAUACCAAAAAUAUUGUUUCGUAUAGAAGACCAUGACAACUGUGAUCAAGAUAUUAUUGCAUCACUUUUUUUUCUGAUACAAUUUUUCUGCGGUCAAAUAGCUUUUUUAAAUUGUGCUGCAGCUUGCAUUAAAUGUGCACACAGAGUGAGGAUCAGAAUAAAUUGUGAAGCAGUGCAGCAUUCCUUGUGAAGAAAACUUCUGAACAGUGGCAAACCAGGCGUUUUCCCCAGAGGCUGCUUUCCCU
rnacentral:lncRNA from 1 species